UGCCUACGGGGCGCAGCAGUGAGGAAUAUUGGUCAAUGGGCGGGAGCCUGAACCAGCCAAGUCGCGUGAGGGACGACGGUCCUAUGGAUUGUAAACCUCUUUUGUCGGGGAACAAAGGCGCCCACGGGUGGGCGGAUGAGUGUACCCGAAGAAAAAGCAUCGGCUAACUCCGUGCCAGCAGCCGCGGUAAUACGGAGGAUGCGAGCGUUAUCCGGAUUUAUUGGGUUUAAAGGGUGCGUAGGCGGAAUGCCAAGUCAGCGGUAAAAUCGCGGGGCUCAACCUCGCUCCGCCGUUGAAACUGGCGU
rnacentral:rRNA from 1 species